rnacentral:rRNA from 1 species
AUUGAACGCUGGCGGCAUGCCUUACACAUGCAAGUCGAACGGUAGGGGGAGCAAUCCCCUGAGAGUGGCGAACGGGUGAGUAAAGCAUCGGAACGUGCCCAGUUGUGGGGGAUAACUACUCGAAAGAGUGGCUCAUACCGCAUACGACCUGAGGUAGAAAGAGGGGGACCUUCGGGCCUCGCGCUAUUCGAUCGGGCGACGUCUGAUUAGUUAGUAGGUGAGGUAAAGGCUCACCUAGGCGACGAUCAGUAGCGGGUCUGAGAGGAUGAUCCGCCACACUGGGACUGAGACACGGCCCAGACUCCUACGGGAGGCAGCAGUGGGGAAUUUUGGACAAUGGGCGAAAGCCUGAUCCAGCCAUGCCGCGUGUCUGAAGAAGGCCUUCGGGUUGUAAAGGACUUUUGUCGGGGAGGAAAUCCCCAGCGUUAAUACCGCUGGGGGAUGACAGUACCUGAAGAAUAAGCACCGGCUAACUACGUGCCAGCCGCCGCAGUAAGAC